AAGGUGUGCAAGUUAUUAAAGUCUUUAUAUGGCCUUAAACAAGCUCCUAAGGAGUGGCAUGAGAAGUUCGAAAGAACAUUAACUGCUGCUGGCUUUGUAGUAAACGAUGGUGACAAGUGCGUGUACUAUCGCUAUGGUGGGGGCGAAGGAGUUAUUCUUUGUCUAUAUGUCGAUGACAUAUUGAUCUUUGGAACCAAACUUGAUUUAAUCAAGGAGGUUAAGGAUUUCUUAUCUCGUUGUUUUGAGAUGAAGGAUCUAGGAGUAGCUGAUGUUAUCUUAAACAUCAAGCUGUUGAGAGAUGAGAAUGAUGGGAUCACACUGCUUCAGUCUCAUUAUGUGGAAAAGGUCUUGAGUCGUUUUGGGUAUAGCGACUGCACGCCUUCUCCAACUCCAUAUGAUGCUAGUGUGUUGCUUCGAAAGAAUCGACGGAUUGCUAGAGAUCAACUGAGGUAUUCUCAGAUUAUUGGCUCGCUUAUGUAUUUGACGAGUGCCACGAGGCCUGACAUCUCUUUUGCUGUGAGCAAGCUGAGUCGGUUUGUGUCAAAACCGGGAGAUGAUCAUUGGCAUGCGCUUGAGAGAGUUAUGCGCUAUUUGAAAGGUGCCGCGAGCUAUGGGAUUCACUACACCGGGUAUCCAAGGGUACUGGAGGGUUAUAGUGACUCAAACUGGAUAUCUGAUGCUGAUGAGAUUAAGGCCACAAGUGGUUAUAUAAACAGUUCUAAGGACAAUAUGAAGUUCUCAAGGCAUGUGAAGAGGAGACUAAAAUCUGUCAGAAAACUGAGGAAUUCCGGAGUUAUUACGUUGGAUUAUAUCCAAACGUCGAAAAACUUGGCAGAUCCCUUCACAAAGGGUCUAUCACGUAAUGUUGAUACUUAUCUUAAUGUGUUCCAAGUGGCUUAU
rnacentral:rRNA from 1 species